UACGAAGGGGGCUAGCGUUGUUCGGAAUCACUGGGCGUAAAGCGCACGUAGGCGGAUUUGUCAGUCAGGGGUGAAAUCCCGGGGCUCAACCUCGGAACUGCCUUUGAUACAGCAAAUCUCGAGUCCGGAAGAGGUGGGUGGAAUUCCUAGUGUAGAGGUGAAAUUCGUAGAUAUUAGGAAGAACACCAGUGGCGAAGGAGGCCCACUGGUCCGGUACUGACGCUGAGGUGCGAAAGCUAGGGGAGCAAACGGG
rnacentral:rRNA from 1 species